rnacentral:rRNA from 1 species
AGGAUGAACGCUGGCGGCGUGCCCUAAUACAUGCAAGUCGAGCGAGAACUUGAUGAUGGAAGAUUCGUCUGAAAGAUUCAAGGGAAAGCGGCGGACGGGUGAGUAACGCGUAGGCAACCUGCCCUUAGCAGAGGGAUAGCCAUUGGAAACGAUGAUUAAAACCUCAUAACGCUUGAGAGACACAUGUCUUUCGAGCCAAAGAUUUAUCGGCUAAGGAUGGGCCUGCGUCUGAUUAACUGGUUGGUGAGGUAACGGCUCACCAAGGUGACGAUCAGUAGCCGACCUGAGAGGGUGAUCGGCCACAUUGGAACUGAGACACGGUCCAAACUUCUACGGAAGGCAGCAGUAAGGAAUCUUGCACAAUGGGGGAAACCCUGAUGCAGCAACGCCGCGUGAACGAAGAAGGCCUUCGGGUUGUAAAGUUCUGAUCUUGGGGAAGAAGGAAGUGACGGUACCCAAGGAGAAAGCCCCGGCUAACUACGUGCCAGCAGCCGC